UCCUGAAGGGCUAAUUCCGCU
rnacentral:miRNA from 1 species